rnacentral:lncRNA from 1 species
CGCAUAACUUUAAUACUUAAAAUUGCCAGCGGCCUCUAGAAAAGAGGCUGAACUGCCUCAUGGCCCCUGCCCUGCUGUGGUUCCUGUUGGGAAGACUGCAGAUUCCUGGGUGGAGCCACAUCCUGUGGGAGUGCAGGGAGACAUCCCCAGCUGGCAGGCUCCGCGUCCUGGAGCGUGACUGGGUGUGUGUGUCCCUGACUGUGCAUCAUUUCAGGGUGGGGCUGUCUUGAACACAGCCAUUUGGUUUCUGUCACAUGAGCCCGAAACACAUGAGCAAAGACUCUUUGAAAACACAUUGUUCGUCAAUGAUUUUAAAAUACUUUUCCCUAAAACAUGAAGUAGCUUUUUCUAGUAAUUUUCAUGUACAUACUUGGGAAAUCUCCCCCAUCAUGGGAAAGCUACCCAGAAAUCGACAGCAAGAAUCUGGGGAGGAAAGGAUCGGAGAACAGGGGACAUCCACCUAUUCCCAGCCCCGGCAGAUUCACCACAUUUCAAUCCUGACUGUGCACUGGAAUCACCCGGACAGCUUUAAGGACACAGAUGCUUCACCUCUGAACUAUGAAAUCAGAAUCUCUUGGGCCGAGACCUGGCUGUCGUUGCUGUUUGUAGAAUCCUGCAGGUGAUCGUGCUUUGCGGCCAGGGCUGAGAAGCACUGAUAUGCAGGUCUAGGAAAUUACCACAGCUGGAAAAGGUCACGCUUGCUGAACCGGAAAUGAAUUCUGCAGCUCGAGCCAACGCUGCUCUAUUCACCUCCUUUUACCAAGACUCUGGAUGAACUGUCAAAUAGAGCAGGGAGUGAGCGUGUUGGGUCCUACAAUGUGUUGGCUAC